CAGGCUCCCAGCUGUCAGCACAGAGCCCGAGGACGCAGGGCAGGGCUCGACCUCAGGAACCACGAGGUCAUGACCUGAGCUGAAGUCAGGCACUUAACCCACCGAGCCACCCAGGCGCCCCAACACUCUCUUCGUUCUUACAGCCCAGCAAGUACAAGAUUCUUGAAGAAAAAAAAAAGAGAAGAAAGGUGGAACCAAGAGAGGAGCCCGGGAGGUGAGGAGCAGCCAUGGGGAUUCUCCAAAAGGAAGACCUCCAACAAUCGAAAUGGCAUCACUAAAGCCGAGUCCACACUCUGCCACAAGUGUCUAAUGAUCUUCCUAAGUCCCUUCUCUGAGCCUCAGUUUCCUCACAUGGCACCUUCACUACUAUGAGGACUUGUGGUCCACGAGGAAAGGAGAUUUCCAUGGCAUAAAACUUGAACAGAGGGCUGGAGGACAGCAGAGGGAUAAGAGCUUAGGAGUCAGGAGGUCCUGAGAAAUUUGCUCUCUUGCUCACUUAACCAGCUGGGCCAAUUGAACAGUCCUUUCUGAGCCUGUGGCCCCACAAGUGAAAUGAGCAAACUAACGAACAUCUAUCCCGAAGAGUCGUGGUGAGGUUUGGAAAUUAGCCACAGGACAUGCCUGGCACUCAAUGAAUGGAAGCGAAAAUUACAUAGAAGGGAUUCGUCUGGCUGCUGUGUGCGCUUGGGCAGCACGGCCCAAACAUAGCCGGGGUCUCCCAGAGGAAGGAGCACCUCUUGUUCAUUCUCACAAAAGUACCAUCUGCUCUUCAAGGUCUGCACCUGGAAGGCCGCCUCCAGCAAGCCUGGGAUUAAAAGUGUCAUUUCCGGCUCUAAUGUCUUCCCUUCCACAGACGAGCAGUCUGCAGACCAGGCUCGGAACAUGGCCUCCGACCCAGGCUGGGUGGGCUCAGACAUCCUCCUCCCAGAGCUCCCUCUCUGUCAGGGAACACUGUCAUCAGCCCUUGAGGGACCAGGCAGAGGAGGGGAGGCUCCAGCAAGGCUCCAGCACCCUGAGUCCUGCCACCAUCCUGUGUCAGAGUCGUUCAGCUGUGCUGCAGCCACUCUUUGGUUUAAGAAAUCAUUCCCACGUAGAUGCAAAAGUCAAAUAAUCAUAAGAAGCUAGCAUUCAUUAACUGCUUUUUUGUACCAGAAAAGAGAUGUCUAUAUACCUUUUCUCCUAUUUUUUAUUCUGAAAAUGUUCAAACCUACAUAAAAGUUAUGCAGUGGUACAUUGAAAACCCGUACAUGUGGGUUCAUCGGUUUGCAUUUUGCCACGUUGGUUUUAUUUCUCUGUGUAUGUAUGUUUUACUAAACCAUUUCAGAAUAGAUCACAGACAUCCCAGUGCUUCACCCCCAAAAUAUUUCAUCAUGUGUCUUCUAAGGAAGAGAACUUUCUGCUCUAUAACCCAAUAUAUAAUCAAACCUAAGACAUUUUACAUUAGUGCAACAGUGUAAGUCCACAUUCAAAUUGUCCAGUUCGGAUAAUGUCUUGGGAUUUUUUAUUUUUAUUUUUAUUUUUAAACCCAAUCAAGGAUCAUGUACUGUCUUUAGUUGUCACGACCCCUUAGUUCUUAGUCUCCUUUCAUCAACAAGCGUUUCCCACCAUUUUUUCCCUUUGGUCAUCCAUGCCGUCCACAUUUUGAAGCAUCCAAACCAGUUGUUUGCUGAAUGUCCCUCAAUUCAGAUUUUCUGAUGGUUUCCUCAUGGUUAGAUUCAGGUUGACCUGCAUGUUUGACCUUCCUCGUGGCUCCCUGAUUGAUUUUACUACCCCAUUUUACAGAAACAGAGGUUGCCACACAGCUACCGAGAGGCUGACCUAGAAUUGGGAGCAGAGAGCUUGGUUCUCAGUCUGGGCUCAGGCUCCAAGCUGCCAGGAGCAGCCGUGAAGUCUUACCAGUUGGGUUCUUUUUUUUUUUUUUAAUUUUUUUUUCCAAUGUUUUUUUUUUUAUUUAUUUUUGGGACAGAGAGAGACAGAGCAUGAAUGGGGGAGGGGCAGAGAGAGAGGGAGACACAGAAUCGGAAACAGGCUCCAGGCUCCGAGCCAUCAGCCCAGAGCCUGAUGCGGGGCUCGAACUCACGGACCGCGAGAUUGUGACCUGGCUGAAGUCGGACGCUUAACCGACUGCGCCACCCAGGCGCCCCAUGGGUUCUUAUGACAGAUUUGUUAUCAGCCCCUUGUAGCACCUUGACCAUGGAUAGAGAGCAGAUUUUGACAGGAGCCAGUAAGGGGAGAAGAAGUACACCCCAAGGGAGGGGGCACUUCCAACACACCCUGUAGUAAGCCCUAGCCUCCAGGUGAGCCCAGCCUGGAACCCCCAAAAGUUCCUUUAGGGUGUUUUAUGUUCUGGAUUUUUUUUCCUUUUGGCUGUUUCAGAAAUUUGACUUUCUGCAUCCUAGGCCUCCGGGGGAAAUGAUGCAUCACAGCAUGCACGCAUGCACACACACACACACACACACACACAUACACACACACACACUCUCACCAUGUGCCUUAUACUACCAAGGAUAUAACGAUCUUCUGGAGACCAUCAUCACUGAAUGCUGUCCCGUUGCCUAGCAACCCUAGGGCAUUUCAACCCUUCCCAGCCAUAGGGUAGGUAGAGAGGGCAACCAUGUGACUGGCUGGGUACCUCUUGCUCUGGAGGUCUCCUGCCCCUGCUUCCUUAUGUCUAGUUGCCUAACAACCAAAGGGGUCCUUGUGCUCUGGGGGUUCCACUCCUCCUCAUAGGGGAUGAGCAGAACCUCAUUAGGGCUUCCUCUUGGCUUGGGAGGGCCACAUAGGUCCACUAUAGAAUGUGGGGCUCCUUGAGGGAGGGGUUCCAGAGAGCUAAAAAGGAGGGCACAUAUCUCCCUUUGCAGUGAAUCUUUGAAGGGAAAAGAGUAAAAGGAAAAUAUCCAGGUAAGAGCCUCACCAUUGCCAAGACAGUUAAGCUUCUUGUGGUUUGGUGGUCAGAGGUUCAGAGACCCGCUGGCCGAGAGCACUGGGUUUGGGUACUGACCAUCUGCCUCUUUGAAAGGACAGAGAUGGAUAAUCUAUGUACCGGGAAGCUCAUUAAACAUCCAAGCCUACAGUUAAUCUCGAAUAUGUGUGUAUAACUUUUUUUUUAAUGUGUGUAUAACUUUAACCAUUUUGGGGGGGCAUAAGAUUUAGGCCAAGGGUUCUUGCCUGGGGUCUGCGGGGGAAAAGUUACAUCUUUGUUUUCACAAACCUCUUCUGAAAUGUAUGAAAUAUUUUGAGGUGUUACAAAUUCAUAAUUUUACGAAAGAGUAAAAUUGGUGACUUCGUCAUAGAAAUCACAGAUAUUUUUAUAUCACUUUACAGUUGUUGAAGAUAUUACAGCCAUCGGUUAUGCUCAUCACUACUUAGAAAUUAUAAGGUAUUAGACCUGCCAUUAUUAGAUCGUUAAUGUGUUCAUGAAGAAGCACAAAUCCAGAUCACGCUUUCAUUUUUUAAUAUUUUGAUAACUAAAUGUCGAUAUAAUUGGUUCCGUUUUUUAAUACAGUUAUUCUGAGGCUUCACCGGGCCACCACACGGAGCUGCAGUACCAAAAAAAAAAAAAAAAACAAAAACAGUUAAAAGCCUCAGGUUUAGCCUAUGGAAGUUUUGUCAAACUAAGACCCAAGGAAAUAUUCUGGGGAGUUGCCUCAUUUUGAAUGUUCAGUGUGGAUGGUAACAUAAACAAAUUAUUGUACACUAUCCCUGAGGGUUUGAACAACUGCCUUAGAAUCGAGUACUGACUGACACACCAGCCGUAUCAGCUUGUGAGUUUGCAUUUACAGCAGUGGCGAUGCCAAGCAGCUCCACCCGAAUUGUUCCAUUCAGAUUAGAAAAGAACAGAAACGGGGAGUCUGGCUGGCUCAGUUGGUAGAGUAUGUGACUUUUGAUCUUGAGGUCAUGAGUUCAAGCCCCCGUUGGGUGUAGAGCUUAUAUUUUUU